rnacentral:misc_RNA from 1 species
UUUGUACAAAUGAGUUGUAACAAAAAUAUAAUAAAAAAACAUAAUAGUUUCUAGAAAGGUAACAAAAAGAAAUCGCAGAUUAUCAAACGCUUUAAUAUAAAGCCUUUAAUUGGUAAUAAAUCGUCUCGAAGUAGUAAAAACUAUACGUCGUGAUGGGUGCCGCAUUAAUAAAAAUGAUUAACAGAAAGCAUACAAACUUUACUGUCUUACCAAGAGAAAAGCCGAGAACUAUAGUUUUGGUAAGAUAAAACGAACUUAAACAUCAAAAGACAGGAAAACAUAAUUAUGGACAUGGACAUAGAAACUGCGUGACAAAGACUUUUCCAACUCAACUUUAUCAUCUUGUAUUAUUACCAAAAAAAUGUUUUUUCUAUUACACAACUAAAGGCUUUUUUAAUUUAUGUUAAUUUAUGUUGUCGUAAUGUUGUGGUUUCUGUCAAGUUUUCUGUGUAAGUGGUGAUGAUUCAAUCCGGAAGUCUCUAGCGUUAACCCUCCGGAAUACGAUUUCAAGGAGUUUGUCUUAAAAUGCGAAAAUCUGCAAAGAAUAAAAAUGCUACUAGAAUCAAAAAUAAGAACUGAACUAAAAAAGUGGAGUCUGAAAUCAUCGAGUCAAGAUAUUUCCUCUCACGAGCAUAAUAAAAACUUGUACCAAUUUAUAAAAUAUUUUAAAAAUGUACAAGAGGAACAAAAUAAUUUGAUUCAAAAAGAAAAACUUAGAUUUGAAAUGAUAAAAGCAGAGUUUGAUGAAACAGUUAUUUAUAAAAUGAGAAACAGACUAAAAUAUUUCAUUGAAUUGAACAAAGAUCACGAAGAAAUUAUAUAUCGAUUAAAAGAGGCUACAGAGAGCUAUAAAGUUGAAUACACCCAUCGCACAGGUGCAAGUUCAGACGGAAGAAAAAAAAGAUUAAGAGUGAUCACGGGAGAUAAUUGUUAACUGAAGUUCAGUAUUUGCUGAUUCCACUUCUAUCAGUUUAGUUUUCAAUAAAUCAGUAUUUAUUGAUACAAGUGAUUGAUCCUGUAUUCCUUAGUUGUUGAUUGAGUAUACAUCAAGCCACACUAAAGAACAAGUCAAAGAACUUAAAAAAAAUCAAAGAACCAAAAGUAUUGAAAUGUAAAGUUUAUAUUAAAAAAUGCUUGUAAAGUUUAAUUGCUAAUUAUGAUAAUUAAUUUAAUUAUGAUAA